GUUUGUUUUAGGGAGAGAGAGAGAGAGAGAGAGAGAGAGAGAGAGAGAGAGAUCGGGGGACCGUACCGGAUCCAAAGCGAAACGCAGCCAAGCUGCGAGAAAUCCAUGGACGGCAGCUCAGAUCCCGCGCCGGCCCGACCAAGCCCUCGACCGGAGCGCACCACGGGCACCAGCAGCCUGCACGGCCGCGGACGCCUCCCGCACCGGCGGCAGCCCCGAGGGGCCUCCGAGCCGAUGCGCGAGCCGGCGCGGCGGGAGGGGCUGGCCCCGAUGAGCGGCGGCCCGGCGCGUCCGCCGCUCGGGAGCCUGGCCGGUGGCCUCUCGCAGCCGGACUGGUCCGAGGGUUCGGCCCCGGCGGGAGAAGAGAUCCGGGUCCGGAUGGAUCUCCGGUCCAGAUCCGGGUUCAGGUCCGGCUGUAGAUGCUGCAAAUAAUAAGGACCAGAGAAGGGGUCAUUUAGCAAAAA